GGGGGAGAAUACCAGGAGUGACGGUGAAAGGCGUAGAGAUCUGGAGGACAGCCGGUGGAGAGGGAGGCCCCCUGAACAAAGGCUGAGGCUCAGGUGCGAAGGCGGAGGAGGCAAGCAGGAUUAGAUGCCUUGGUAGUCCACGCCGUAAACGAUGUCUGCGUGGAGGUUGUGCCCUUGAGGGGUGGCUUCCGGAGCUAACGCGUUAAGUAGACCGCCUGGGGAGUGCGGCCGCAAGGUUAAAACGCAAAUGAAUGGACGGGGGCACGAACAAGCUGUGUAGCAUGGGGUUUAAUUAGAUGCAACGCGAAGAGCGUGACGUGGUCUUGACAUACACAGAACUUUCAGGAGAUUGAUUGGAGCCUGUGGGAUCGGGGAGAUAGGUGCAGCGUGGCAGUCGGCAGCGCCUGUUGUGAAAUGGGGGGGUAAGUGCCGCUACGGGCGCAACCCUUAU
rnacentral:rRNA from 1 species